rnacentral:lncRNA from 1 species
CUCGAUAAGACAACCUCCACUUCUUUUUCAUUUUUGUUCUCUUUUACUUUGCACUUUUCAGAAUAUUAUUGAUUUUUCUCAUCUUCUCUUCGUAGAAUGACAGUCACAAGUGACAGUGUGACACUGACACCCUUAUAAAAUUUUCCUAAACUUGAGAGAGAGAGAGAAGUAUAACUCAAGUAGAAGAAAAAACUAAAAUGAUGUUAUCCAAUGUACAUCAUGAAGGGGAAAACUCUGUAUUGCUAAGUGAGUAUGCAUUCACUAGCUCACAUGCAAAUACACACAAAGUAAAGCAGCAUUAUAUUGGUUGUAAAACUUUCUUGUCGUUCCAAACACAUGAAAGCAUCCAGGGAGGAAAUGUUUGUUC